UUCUGUGAAGCUGGUCCAAUAAAAAAAACACUGGAAAUGCUGCCGAUGCCUCUGGUUGCUUGCUGUUCAUUGGACUGCUGAGGAUCUGUGGUCGUGGUUCGGGCUGAUGCAUUCUGGUGUGGUCGUGAGGUCCGGUGGUGCUACUCUACACUUUAUAGUUCUACUAUUUGCAUCCACAUGUGGGUCCACAUGUAAAAUGAAGACCGUUUGGGGACAUUGAAAAGAUGGAAGACCACAAUUUUAUCAGAACCAGGAAACUGUAUCAAAUUACAAAAAAAAUGGACUGUCCAGCCAAAAUUUAUGUGUACCACUUACUCACAUUUCCAGAUUUUCAGGAUUCUGUAAGGUCGGAAUUAUAAGGUGUAUUUGUGGAAUAGAAGUGCACCAGACUGGUCACCCGCAAAACAUCUUGAACUUGAGCGGUCAUAGAGAUCUGAGUGAUUUAGAAAAAAACACAUGCUCUGGGAUCGAUGGCAACAGACUUUCAAAAAACUGAAAUACAAUUGUGACAAAUGAAGCUGCAUAUCAAGGUUAUGUAUAAUGGAACCAUGUCAGUUUAUCAUGAUGGCCUUUGUUAAGGCACCAUGAACUGACUGUUUCCUAUUCAAUUUUCAUCUGAACAAGUUUGGUGUACAAAAAAAUGGCUAAUUUUAUAUGAAUUAUGUGACUGUACCUUUGCUCUAAUAGGAAACAUUCAUAAGAGCCUUGAAAUGCAUAUCUGCAAAGGUGCAUAGACACUUUAGAGUGCACCAACACAUUGUGAACAAUGUGUGUGAAUUACAAUCUUAUCUGACAAAAAAUUUAUCCUAACAAAGCUUUGUGUAUUUAAAUGGAAUCUCUUCCAAUGUCAUUAAUCUGUAGGAUUGGACAGAUAAUCUACUGUUUGUUGGGUUUC